GUUUUACUCAAAUCUGUGGGAGCACUCACCGGUCCCCGCAGGUCAAUGAGCUCCUGCCUCAUCUGGGACACGAGGGCCUCCUUGGCCACCAGGGCCCUGUGCAGGCGCUCGUUGAACUCAAUCAGCUCGCC